rnacentral:rRNA from 1 species
UGUGCAAAGGUAGCAUAAUCAAUUGACUUAUAAUUGAAGUCUAGAAUGAAAGGAUGCAUGGGAAAUAACUGUCUAAAAUAGUGUAAAUAGAACUUACUUAAUAAGUGAAAAUGCUUAUAAAGAAAUAAUAGACGAGAAGACCCUUGAAAUUUUGUUUAAAAUCUUUAACGAUUAAAAUUUUGUUGGGGCGACAGAAUAGCACGUAACCUAUUCUAUGUUAUUGACAUUUAUAUAAGGUAAUAAUAAAUUACUCUAGGGAUAACAGCAUAAUUUUUUAAAAGAUUGUGACCUCGAUGUUGGACUAGGAUAUAAUAUGUUUAGAAGAUGUAAUAUAAUGCUCUGUUCGAGCGUAAAUUCCUACAUGAUCUGAGUUCAAAUCGA